GAAAUUCAACCCAAGUACAGAUGAACAAACACGCACAGAACUUUCGAAGGAGCUUGGUGACUACAUAAAAGAAUAUCAAAGUAUAAACCGACAGUUAAGCAGGCGUGGUACUAUGAGAAAGAGGUACAGAUGUAUCGAAGAAAUCGUUGAAAGCGAUAUCAAAGUGUUCCCCUCUAUCACGCUGAAAGUAUCGUACGAAUUGUUCAGAUGUUUAGAAGUACUGCACAGAGCCUUUUUGGUUUUUGGAACAAUUGAUAAGGAAACAGUUUGUGUCAGAGCAUGGAAUAGAAAACUUACUGGACAUGUUCUUAUAAAGAAAGAUCCUAUCUCUACAACAAAAACUGAAGACCUUAGAAGCGACAUACUUCAGACUGGAAAAGUCAUAAAUGCGUUGAUUCAGCAUUACAUUAAACAGAAGACAGAUAUAUAGUAACUUUCCUUUGAUACGACUUCAAAGUGUUUAUAUUUGAUAUUUUGGCAUUAGUCAUUUUUCUUACUUUAUGUUAAUUUAUCUAAUAUUAUUGUUUUAUGGAACUUUUAUUUAUUUUGAUCAUUUCUGUAAACUAAUGCCAAGAAGUGUGAGGUUCGAAAUGAGUUAGUUUUAAAACACUUUAAUAGUGUUAGGUGUCAUGCUAUGCACCAUUCGAAAGCACUUAAGGGUAACUUGGACAGUUGCUUAUUAUGUAUAUAGGGCAAUAAUUUUCCUACUGGAAGAAUUUUUUACACUUUGUGUACUAAACUGAGAAUCAAGUUGAAAACGGAAAUAUGUUGAAGUGAAUUAUCUUGAAUUAUCUGCCUUCGAAAGUAGUUUUGUUUAGUAUUUUCCGACUUUCAAUGGCAGAUAAUUUAUGAUCAAGACUAGGUUCUUAUGGUUUGUUUUAUUUCAUAUUUCUGUUCUUAAUUCUAUUCUCUGUCACUAAAAUUUUAAAGAAGAAAUUCCUUUCUGUAAGAAAAGGUUUGCCCAAUGUCCUUCACUAUGAACAUGACAAAAUGAUACCGGAAAGUCCAAGUCUUUUCAAUGAACCGAAUUUCUUUAAACUUUGUAUACUGACUGCAAACGAAGUCAGUAACAGAAGUAAUAAAAAUAAAUCCACAGUUAUCUUGCCUUGAUCUUGAAUAAUUGAUACUUGAAUGAUUCUUCAGUAUUUUCUUAUUUUAAAGGGCAGAUAAUUCAAGAUCAAGCCUUCAAACCUAUGAUUUUUAUACAUUUUUGUCGUUUUAAUCAUAAUUCUCAGUAAGUAUAAAAAAGUUUAAAGACAUUUUGCCUGUAGGAAAAUUAUUGCCCUAUAUACAUAUAAGCAGCAGUCCCUGUUACCCUUAAGUUCUUUCGAAUGGUGCAUUUUGUUUUCUUUGGUUUUUUAUUCGUUACAAUACAAAUAUGUCAAGCCGUUUUAUGUGAGCGUUGUUCAUUUUAUAUAUACAUUUACAAAAUAAACAAAAACAAUAGAAUAAACAGUAGCAAAGGGGCGGUCUUUAAUAAGACUUCAAUAAUUAUAUUUUCUCACUGUUUGAUGCCAGUAAAGUUAUUUGUACUUGACGGCUCAUUUAAAAAAGAAUGUUAAAGAAUAUACAAAAUACCACAAAUGUCACAUGUGGCUUCAGAAACAAUUUACGUCACUGUAACUAAGGUUUUCUUGUUGUUUUUUUUUUACAUUAUUUUACAUGUUGUCAUCAAAUUUUAGAUUUAUCUGCUUUAAUCGUUUUCUUGUUUAUUUUUUAAUUUGACGUUUUAUUUCAAUAGUGUUUUCUGCAGCAGUGUCUUAUAUCGCACGUUAGAAGCAAACAUAAGACUCAAUUUUAGAGUUUAAUAUCAGUUAAAUGACGUUUAUUUCUGGUCCGUAAAGCCUUUUAACACUAAAUAUGAAAUUGUCAUAGUGUAUUGCUUGUAUUUUAUAAGAGAACGUUAGAAAAAACGUUUUGUUUAGCAACCAUAUUUCAUGUUAACAAGUCACAGGUAUUUCCAAACUUUAACGGACUUGAGGGCGAUCGAAAAUUUUAUCAUAAUCUGUUUUAUAGUUUAUAUAUUGAGAAAGUUGAUUGUUUAUUAGUCGAUCUAAUUGAAAUGAAGAGUUUUUUUUUACACUAUUUUAUAUGUUGUAAUCAACUUUUGAAUUUAUUUGCGUAAAUCGUUUUCUUGUUUAUUUUUUUAUUUUGACGUUUUAUUUCAGUAGUGUUUUCUGCAGCAGUGUCUUAAUAUCGCACGUUAGAACCAAACAAAAGACUAAAUUUUAGAGUUAAAAAUCAGUUAAAUAACGUAAAGCCUUUUAACACUAAAUAUGACAUUGUCAUAGUGUAUUGCUUGUAUUUUAUAAGAGAACGUAAAAAGUGUUUUGCUUGGCAAUUAUAUUUCAUAUUUACAAGGCACUGGUAUUUCCAAACUUGAACGGACCCGAGGGCGAUCGAAACUUUUAUCAUGAAAUUGUUAAUAGUAAUUUAAGAAACAAUGAUCUUUGAAAUAUUUUAAAAUGGUAGUUUCUUACUUUAGCGGUUGUGGCCAAAUUAUGUAACGAAUUAUCAGAAAAAUAUUAACAUUUGUCUUAAUUACUUUUAUUUUACAGUUUAUACAGAAAGUGGAUUGUUUCUUUGUCGAUCUAAUUAAAAAAAAAGAGUUUUUUUACACUAUUCUCUGUGUUGUCAUCAACUUUUGAAUUUAUCUGCUUUAAUCGUUUUCUUGUUUAUGUUUUAUUUUGACGUUUUGUUUCAGCAGUGUUUUCUGCAGCAGUGUCUUAUAUUGCACGUUAGAACUAAACAUAAGACUAAAUUUUAGAGUUAAAUAUCAGUUAAAUGACUUAUUUCUGGCCCGUAAAGCCUUUGACACUAAAUAUGAAAUUGUCAUAGUGUAUUGCUUGUAUUUGACAAGAGAACGUUAGAAAAGUUGUUUUGCUUAGCAACUAUAUUUCAUGUUAACAAGGCACUGGUAUUUCCAAACUUUAACGGACUCGAGGGCGAUCGAAAAUUUUAUCAUAACCUGUUUUAUAGUUUAUAUAUUGAGAAAGUUGAUUGUUUAUUCGUCGAUCAAAUUGAAAUAAAGAUGUUUUUUACACUAUUUUAUAUGUUGUAAUCAACUUUUGAAUUUAUCUGCUUUAAUCGUUUUCUUGUUUAUUUUUUAUUUUGACGUUUUAUUUCAAUAGUGUUUUCUGCAGCAGUAUCUUAAUAUCGCACGUUAGAACCAAACAUAAAGCUAAAUUUUAGAGUUAAAUAUCAGUUAAAUGACGUUAUUUCUGGCCCGUAAAGCCUUUUAACACUAAAUAUGACAUUGUCAUAGUGUAUUGCUUGUAUUUUAUAAGACAGCGU